UGCGAAUCGAGGAACCCUCCUCCCGCCGC
rnacentral:piRNA from 1 species